rnacentral:rRNA from 1 species
AUGGGGGCCGAAGCCACCGACCGCUGCCUGGAGCCUCGCCUACGCUACGUCCCCCACUGGACCUCCCCUGUUUUGCCUCCCGCACCAAGCUCCUCAAGUUCCGCGUCCGUCAUGGCCAUGGAGCUCGUCGGCGUCGUCCUCGCCUGCAUCCGCCUCGGCCCUUGUCAGCAAGCUUCCGCAGCGUCUGGCCCUGCCAUGGCGGCUCGGCCUCCCCUGCUUCCUGUGUUAACCACCGCACCAAGUCCCAGUCUCGCGCUCGGCCUCUGGAUCGAUCGAUCCAAUGCCAUGCCAGGCCUCCCCAUGUCCCGCCCAGCUAGGGCCUCCUCAACCGGCCUACCUCCUCCACCGAACGGGCCAAUGGCCCAUGGUGAGCAGCCCAACUGCCUCAAUGCACUGUUCAAUUUCAGCCCGAUUCAUGUUUUUUCGCAGAACGAAUUUAGCUAUUUUGUCCAGGAACUGCAUAUUUACAAUUUGCCCCCUGUUGUUCAUGCAUUUAAUAUCUCACCAACCAUGCAUCCAAAUUAG